GUGGGGAAUAUUGCACAAUGGGCGAAAGCCUGAUGCAGCAACGCCGCGUGAGCGAUGAAGGUCUUCGGAUCGUAAAGCUCUGUCCUUGGGGAAGAUAAUGACGGUACCCUUGGAGGAAGCCCCGGCUAACUACGUGCCAGCAGCCGCGGUAAUACGUAGGGGGCAAGCGUUAUCCGGAAUUAUUGGGCGUAAAGAGUGCGUAGGUGGUUACCUAAGCAGGGGGUGAAAGGCUAUGGCUUAACCAUAGUCAGCCCCCUGAACUGGGCUACUUGAGUGCAGGAGAGGAAAGCGGAAUUCCUAGUGUAGCGGUGAAAUGCGUAGAUAUUAGGAGGAACACCAGUGGCGAAGGCGGCUUUCUGGACUGUUACUGACACUGAGGCACGAAAGUGUGGGGAGCAAACAGGAUUAGAUACCCGGGUAGUCC
rnacentral:rRNA from 1 species